rnacentral:rRNA from 1 species
CCUACGGGGGGCAGCAGUGAGGAAUAUUGGUCAAUGGGCGGGAGCCUGAACCAGCCAAGUCGCGUGAGGGAAGACGGUCCUAUGGAUUGUAAACCUCUUUAGGCGGGGAGCAAUGCCGGGCACGCGUGCCCGGAGGGAUAGUACCCGCAGAAUAAGCAUCGGCUAACUCCGUGCCAGCAGCCGCGGUAAUACGGAGGAUGCGAGCGUUAUCCGGAUUUAUUGGGUUAAAGGGGUGCGUAGGCGGGUUUUUAAGUCAGCGGUAAAAUGUCCGGGCUCAACCCGGGCCGGCCGUUGAAACUGGGGAUCUUGAGUGGGCGAGAAGGGUGCGGAAUGCGUGGUGUAGCGGUGAAAUGCAUAGAUAUGACGAAGAACUCCGAUUGCGAAGGCAGCAUACCGGAAACCGACUGACGCUGAGGUACGAAAGCGUGGGGAUCGAACAGGAUUAGAUACCCCUGUAGUC